rnacentral:rRNA from 1 species
CUACGGAGGGUGCAAGCGUUAUUCGGAAUCACUGGGCGUAAAGGACGCGUAGGCGGGUUGGCAAGUCAGAUGUGAAAUCCUACAGCUUAACUGUAGAACUGCAUUUGAAACUGCUAACCUAGAGUAUGAGAGGGGGAGAUGGAAUUAGUGGUGUAGGGGUAAAAUCCGUAGAUAUCACUAGGAAUACCGAAAGCGAAGGCGAUUUCCUGGAACAUAACUGACGCUAAGGCGUGAAAGCGUGGGGAGCAAACAGCAUUAGAAACCCUAGUAGUCC